GCCCUGUCUACAUGUGAUAAUUGAGCUGACAAAAACCAAAAGUUGUCAUAUGCACUGAAUUAAAACUAUUUCUUAUUGAUUGAACAACCAGUUACGGGAAAAAAUGAAAUCAACAGUUGAGGAGCAGCUUCCACCGACCAGAAGACCCAGAUUCAACAGCGCCCUCUCUCGCCGAGUUCCACAGUGCUUUCCAGGUUGUGUUUGUCGAUCCCUCUGGACACCUCAACAUGUGCGCCGACAUGACAAGCUGCACCUACAAUCAGUUGUGUGCCCUGUGCCAAGAGGGUUUCAAAUUGGCUGGUUGGCAGUAACGUUUCCUCUGAUUGGUUAACUGUACCCUAUUUGGCUCUCAGGAUCAGUACCACUUGGAUGCCAGGUUUCCUACAGAUGUGAAGCAGAUGUGAAGCUUGGCAUUCAGGCCAAAAAAAGUUAAAUCUUGGUUUCAUCAGACCAGAG